GGGGUGUAGCAAUACACUCGCUGGCGACCGGCAAACGGGUGCGGAACACGUACGCAAUCUACCCAAAACUGGUGAAUAGCCCUCCGAAAGGAGGAUUAAUACACCGUAACCUAUUGAAGUGGCAUCACUUUAUUAGUAUAGCUCCGGCGGUUUUGGAUGAGCGUGCGGCUGAUUAGAUAGUUGGCGGGGUAACGGCCCACCAAGUCUGCGAUCAGUAACUGGUGUGAGAGCACGACCAGUCACACGGGCACUGAGACACGGGCCCGACUCCUACGGGAGGCAGCAGUAAGGAAUAUUGGUCAAUGGACGCAAGUCUGAACCAGCCAUGCCGCGUGGAGGAUGAAGGCCCUCUGGGUUGUAAACUUCUUUUAUGGGGGACGAAACCCUGGUAUUCUUACCAGAUUGACGGUACCCUAGGAAUAAGCACCGGCUAACUCCGUGCCAGCAGCCGCGGUAAUACGGAGGGUGCAAGCGUUAUCCGGAUUCACUGGGUUUAAAGGGUGCGUAGGAGGGCAGGUAAGUCAGUGGUGAAAUCUCCAAGCUUAACUUGGAAACUGCCGUUGAUACUAUCUGUCUUGAAUAUUGUGGAGGUGAGCGGAAUAUGUCAUGUAGCGGUGAAAUGCUUAGAUAUGACAUAGAACACCAAUUGCGAAGGCAGCUCACUACUCAAUCAUUGACUCUGAGGCACGAAAGCGUGGGGAUCAAACAGGAUUAGAUACCCUGGUAGUCCACGCCCUAAACUAUGGAUACUCGACAUACGCGAUAUACAGUGUGUGUCUGAGCGAAAGCAUUAAAGUAUCCCACC
rnacentral:rRNA from 1 species